AGUCGGGCGGGCGGCCGGGCCGCUCCGCGGUCGGGGUGCGCGCUCGAGGCCCGCGGGCGUUUCCUUCAGGGCGGGGGCGCCCUCUGCCCCUCCGCGUCCUGUGCCAGUUGCCGGUACUAGCUGCACAGUCCGUUGCGGACGUCAUAGAUGGCUGUUUACUGCCUCUUUGAGUGCUGCUGAGUAAAUAGUCACUAGACAGUCCUGGUGGAGGAGGGAGUGUCCCGGCCUUAUAAAAAGGUCGUAAAUGUCCGCGUUCCCACACCACUUCCGUGAGGCCGAUGGUCACCAGGUAAACGAUCGCUGGCCCGUUAAAAGCCACGUUACGAGCCCCUUCCGCCUCGGUGGGUCCAGCGUUUCUCUCCGCAGACUAGCGUUGCUCUGCGUGAGUUCAGAUUUGAGUCCGCAUUCCCCCUCUCCUAGCCCGAGCCCCAGAGAGAGCAAGUAACAAAGCAAGUCUCCCAUCAGUAGGGAGUGACAGAAAAGGAGAGAGAGAAAGAGAGAGAGAGGACGCAGACUAGAGAGUGAGAUGAAGGUAGGUUAGCUCCCAGUAUGAAGGUCAGAAAACGGAAAUUACCAAAACAUAAAGUGCAAAUCUUUCCCCAGCGUUUUGGUCCCUGGAAAAGAAACUAGAGUGAAAGAUUAAUCAUUUUGGGCGGGGGCACUGGGGAGAUAGCUCAGCAGCAUAAGCGCCGCCUGGCAAGCGCGAGGUGCUGCGUUAGAUUCCUGGUACCAAAUAAUAACAAUAAUAAUUUUUUUUUAACUUGCAGGGAUCAUGAGGGCGUGGUUGGGAUGUUCCCGGCUUGACUUGCAUCUCAGCACCGGUUUCACUGCCCCUCCCCAGAUGUGCGGUGCUGGGGGUUGCUGACAGCCUAGGCAGCGUACGCAGGGCAGGACCGUACCCAGGAAGGCUAACAGCGCAAAGCCGCCUCUCCUCCCGCUGCAGACGUCAGCUCUCCCGCAGCGCGGAGCAGCACAAGAGUGCUUGCUGCGUCUGGAGCAGAGGAGCCUCGCCACCCUUCUCAAAGCACCCGAAGGCUCUCUGUUCCGAGGAAGGGGCUCGGCCCAGGGUGAUGACCGCACAGACCACGGACACUACCUGCCCCUGUCGGGAGAGGAGCGGGAGCUGGGACACAGGUACAUGAGGAGGAAGGCAGGGAACAUCAGCGCCUGCACCUCAGGCACUUGGAGAAGGGAACGUGGUCAUUCCAGCUUGGCGACACAUGCUCGGGAUGAAGAGCCCGGGCACUGGCUCGGGCACUGGAGAGACAGUGGCCAGGACUGGAGGACCAGACGCUUCUGCUGGACACUCCACUCUACCCUGGCCUCAGCAUCCUCCAUGUCCUCAGCUCCAGUGGACCCUCCAUCCCACCUAAACCGCAGCUCAGCUCCGUAACACCUCUGCUGUGUGCUCAGCCCGCCAUAGCUGACCCCUCAAAGCCUCCUUGUUGCUAUUUAUUUAUUUAUUUAUGUU
rnacentral:lncRNA from 1 species